rnacentral:rRNA from 1 species
UACGGAGGGUGCGAGCGUUGUCCGGAAUCACUGGGCGUAAAGGGCGCGUAGGCGGCUUGGGAAGUCUGUGGUGAAAGCUCGUGGCUCAACUGCGAGUCGGCCAUAGAUACUCCUAAGCUCGAGUCGACUAGAGGCAGAUGGAAUUCCUGGUGUAGCGGUGAAAUGUGCAGAUAUCAGGAGGAACACCGGUGGCGAAGGCGGGUCUCUGGGCCGAUACUGACGCUGAGGAGCGAAAGCGUGGGAAGCGAACAGG